rnacentral:lncRNA from 1 species
AGCUCGACAAUUUCCCAUUUCCCCCAAACCUGCUUUCCGCCACCGUGAAAGAGGCCUCACCGUGGCCAUCUCGUCUCAGGUCCGCUCAUACCCUCUGUCCUUUCGUUUCAGUGUUCUUGUGUGCCCCUGAUGCUCCCCAACCCCGCCAAUUAGACUAGAACCCCUUAGAUCGCCGGGAACACGUUUGAUUGUUAGUGAAAUUAGUUGAGGGGAAACUCUUGUUAGGGUUUGAAUUUGGUCUCAGCCAAAGUAGAGCACCGGUCGUUGCGGGAUCCGGCCGGUACAAGCUCGCCGGAGCUCGGUUCCCCGUCGUUCGCCGUCGUGGACUAGGGAUUGUGAAGAGAGGAAAGCGCAAGGGUGUUUCUGCAAGUGUCAGCGAGACAGAGGAAUAGUGAGAGGGACUCUUUAAAGAAUUUAAAAUUGUCAGGGCUCUCUGCGCAAAACCGACAGCGCGGGCACGUUUCCGCCUGUAGAUGGGCCGACUUGGGCCAGUUCCGGUCCAGAACUGUUCAUGCUUUUUCCUUUUUCUUUUUCUGUCAGGGUUUAAGAAUUUCUAGAAAAUUAUAGAAAAAUGCUAAAAAUACCAAACCAAUUUUGCUAGACUUCUAAUUUCUUAUAGUAUUUAAUAAAAAUGGUUUCCUGAUUUUUAGUUCAAAUAGGGAAUUUUGGGGCAUUUAAAAUAGCCAAAAUCCAUACUUCUCGAAUUUUAGAGAAUAAUUAUCAAUUCCAAAAUUCACCAAACUUUUUAGGUAAACGUUAAAUAUUAUUUAGAAGCCUUGGGUAAAGUUUGGUGUGAUUUGGACCAUGUUUGGUACUUAGAACCCAAAACCCUAGCCCCCCUGCCCUAUGAACUUCACUAUAGACUCCGAAAACCCUAAUUUCCUAGAGAUCCAUGAAGGUAAGUUAUAUUCAAGACUUUAGAUAAUAUACUUUUAUUAUCUUUGCAAUUUCAUGAGCAUCACAUGAGCAUUCAUGAUUAUAUAUGACUAUAUCUAGAGAACGAGGAGGAAAUAGAAGUUGAAGAAGCGAGGACUACACCACCACCACCUGAAGAACCUCAGGCAGGAAACUGCUUUUACUUUGAUAUUUGUGGAGCAGAGCCUGAUUCACCUAUCAGUCAAGACAAGCCCCGGUGCAUUUUCCACCUCCUUGCUAUUUUAAAAUCCUUCUCACUUACUUGAUGCAUUAGGUGAUAGGAGUCGUGUGCUAAACCAAUUGCUGCAUUUCCUUCCUUGAAUUUGAUUACUUCUCCUUAAUCCCCUGUUUUACAAAAAGGUUUUUCUUAUGCUUAACUUUGCUCUAGAAAAACAAAAUGUUUUGUUUUGACAAAAGAUGAUGCUUCAAGUGGGUGGGAUUUUUAAAAAAAUAAAACUUGAUGGUGGAUCCAUCAUGACCAUGAUGGGUUCAACAUCGGAAAAGAUGUACCUCUGCCAGGUACCAAACUUUGGAUUUGAAAUGAUAAAAUUGAGACCGGGCGGGUGACUUGCACGAGAAGAGAGUCUCGGUGUAGUGUCUCCAUUUGAGUCAAUUAAGGACCUUGUCGAUGUAGGCUUGAUGAUCGAGGACCCUUUAACUGGUCACAUGCCUCAUCAUGGGUAAGCUUUGCCUCGGGCAGACUACUACCAGAAUAAGAUAACACGCAAUGGGAGUGGAGAGAUGGCGAGAGUAGCGUGUACCCUCCGUGGCAAGAGGCUGGACGGUGGUGUAUCUGUGCUCUCGGUUGGUGUGAACUUGAUCUGGUCUUAAGAACCCCGGUGGCGAGUUGACAUAUGCAAGGGUUAAGUGCUACAUAUGUCGUGUGAUUGGAGAUCCUCAGCUGAGUAUAAUUGAUUUGGAUCGCCGUAACUUCGCGGACAUGAAGGCUUGGUCACUGCCCUACACGUAGCAUUCCAGUGAACAAGAAGGGUUGAAAAGAAGUUGGCUAGUAUAGGUCAAGUGCUUGAACUAGGGUAGAAAGAACUCUAGAACAUAGGUAAUGACUUAACUUGCUAAUAAAACUGGACUUUUAAGGAUCCAUUAUUAGUAAGCAUUUCUGCAAACAGAGUCAUUGAUUAUUGAAAAGCCAUACCUUGAUCCCCAACGACCAACAUAUCGUUGAGAGUCUUUUAUUUUGACGGGUAUAACUUGCGAAAGUACAUUUCGUACUCAGGGCUUUGUCCCAUGUUGUUUUAGGUGAUGAAGCAGCAAAUUUUUGUUGCUUCUGUUCCAAGGUGGUACCUAAAGAAGAAAAUCAAGACUGAAGCUGCAGGAGGAAGGGUCCUCCGUUAAGAAAAACUUUUUACUGUUUAUCGAGAGGGGUUUUUGCCUCCCAGGUUAUGUAAUAAUAUUACUCAACACUCUUAUAUUUCGUUCUGGUCUGUAAUAAUACAACUCUUUCUUACUUUAAUAUAAAGUAAGUUAUUGUAAUUGCUUCCGCAUUUUCGUACCUCCGAUGUAUUGUAAUGUCUGCGUAGCGGGUGAAACGCUCUUGGGAAAGGUAAGGAAUACAGAUACUGAACUUGUCAAGUGAUCAGGGGCACCUGUAGGGUUGUCUGAGGUCCGUUGGACAAGGACGACUGUAGGUGGGCCUAAUGACUUGGGAGGUUCUGUCACAAAUUAUUUGAAUUUAAU